UGGGGAAUUUUGGACAAUGGGGGAAACCCUGAUCCAGCCAUCCCGCGUGUGCGAUGAAGGCCUUCGGGUUGUAAAGCACUUUUGGCAGGAAAGAAACGUCAUGGGUUAAUACCCCGUGAAACUGACGGUACCUGCAGAAUAAGCACCGGCUAACUACGUGCCAGCAGCCGCGGUAAUACGUAGGGUGCAAGCGUUAAUCGGAAUUACUGGGCGUAAAGCGUGCGCAGGCGGUUCGGAAAGAAAGAUGUGAAAUCCCAGAGCUCAACUUUGGAACUGCAUUUUUAACUAACGGGCUAAAGUGUGUCAGAGGGAGGUGGAAUUCCGCGUGUAGCAGUGAAAUGCGUAAAUAUGCGGAGGAACACCGAUGGCGAAGGCAGCCUCCUGGGAUAACACUGACGCUCAUGCACGAAGGCGUGGGGAGCAAACAGG
rnacentral:rRNA from 1 species